rnacentral:rRNA from 1 species
CAAACCAGGUAUUUCCCUAGUACUGCGAGUGAAGCGGGAAAAGCUCAAAUUUAAAAUCUGGCGGCCUUUUGGCUGUCCGAGUUGUAAUCUAGAGAAGUGUUACCCGCGUCGGACCGUGUAUAAGUCUCCUGGAAUGGAGCGUCAUAGAGGGUGAGAAUCCCGUCUUUGACACGGACUACCGAGGCUUUUGUGGUGCGCUCUCAACGAGUCGAGUUGUUUGGGAAUGCAGCUCAAAAUGGGUGGUAAAUUCCAUCUAAAGCUAAAUAUUGGCGAGAGACCGAUAGCGAACAAGUACCGUGAGGGAAAGAUGAAAAGAACUUUGGAAAGAGAGUUAAACAGUACGUGAAAUUGCUGAAAGGGAAACGCUUGAAGUCCCUCGCGUUGGCCGGAAAUAAACCUUGCUUCUGCUGGGUGUACUUUCUGGUUAACAGACCAGCAUCAUUUUUUACCGGUGGAAAAAAUCCUCGGGGAAAGUGGCACCCUUGCCUGAGGUGUAAAACCCUUUCUGUAUAAAACACCUGGGACGGCAAAAGGGACCCAAAAUUAAGAUGGGGCUUUUCCCACCCCCCUGCGUAGUAAGGGGGGGAACCGUUGGUUUUUUAUUCCCCCCCCCAUAAAA